UAUAAUGCAGGUUUAUUAACUAUUAUUACAAAUUAGUUUCAGAUCAGUACAAAUUAAUUCAAAACACAUUACAUGAAAUUAAAGUAGACAUUGUUGACAUACAAAGUCAAAUUCAACAUCAAGGUUUACUAUUGAGAUUAAAAAAUGGAAAUGUAGAUGACACACUUAAAUUAUCAUUUGAAACCGUUUCAGAAUUGGAUGAGUUUGAGUUGAAUCUCAAAGUAGAUGAACUUAAUGAAAGUAGAUUGAAAAAUUGUCUACUAAAAGUUGGACAUGUUAAACAACCUUCAAAAACUGUUUACAAUUUAUUAAAAAAAGUGAUGACAAAUAAAGUAGCUGAAACUUUUAAUAUUACUGGAAAAGGGAAUAAGAAUGCAUUUGGAAAAUAUAAAAUAUCCCAAAUAAUACAUAAUGUAGUUUAUUCCUUACAGGGUACAACCGAGGUUGAUUAUUUGAAUUUUUUAGGACUAUGGCUGCGUCAAGCCAGUAACCGUGGGGCUAACUAAUCAUUAAUUCAUAUUAUGUAUAUUAAGUAUAUCUACUAACUUAAUCUAAGACUGGCAAGUUAUUUUUUUUUUUUAUAUAUAUAUUAUGUUAUUAAUAUUUACACCUAAGACUGGUUAGUUAUUUUUUUUU